rnacentral:rRNA from 1 species
AUUGAACGCUGGCGGCAGGCCUAACACAUGCAAGUCGAACGGAAACAGGAAGAAGCUUGCUUCUUUGCUGACGAGUGGCGGACGGGUGAGAAAUGUCUGGGAAACUGCCUGAUGGAGGGGGAUAACUACUGGAAACGGUAGCUAAUACCGCAUAACGUCGCAAGACCAAAAAGGGGGAGCUUCGGGCCUCUUGCCAUCGGAUGUGCCCAGAUGGGAUUAGCUAGUAGGUGGGGUAACGGCUCACCUAGGCGACGAUCCCUAGCCGGUCUGAGAGGAUGACCAGCCACACUGGAACUGAGACACGGUCCAGACUCCUACGGGAGGCAGCAGUAGGGAAUCUUGCGCAAUGGGCGAAAGCCUGAUGCAGCAACGCCGCGUGUAUGAAGAAGGCCUUCGGGUUGUAAAAUUCUUUUAUCGGGGAAGAACAAAGUAAAGUGUAAACCUUCGCUCAUUGACGGUACCCGCACAAAAAGCCCCGGCUAACUACGUG